CUGGCCUUCAAGGUAUCACUUCUGUUCCUCUCCCCUAUUUUCUUUCUUAGCCUGUUUAUCAUUUGUAUAAAGGAAGGCUACUGAUUUGUUUGAGUUAAUUUUAUAUCUGGCCACUUUGCUGAAGUUGUUUAUCAGCUGGAAAAAUUCCCUGGUAGAAUUUUUGGGGUUGCUUAUGUAUACUAUCAUAUCAUCUGCAAAUACUGAUACCUCAACUUCUUCUUUGCUAAUUUGUAUCCCCUCAAUCUCCUUUUGUCUUAAUGCUCUAGCUAGAACUUUGAGUACUAUAUUAAAUAGAUAUGGGGAGAGUGGGCAUCCUCGUCUUGUUCCUGAUUUUAGUGGGAUUAUUUCAAGUAUGUCUCCAUUUAAUUUGAUAUUGGCUGUUGGUUUGCUGUAUAUUGCUUUUAUUGUGUUUAGGUAUGGGCAGUGAAUUCCUGAUCUCUACAGUACUUUUAGCAUGAAGGGUUGCUGAUCUAGGAGAAUAGCUUGAGUCCAGGAGUUCCAGAUAGCAUAAGGUAAAAUAACAAGACUUCUUCCCCCAAAGUACCAACCAACCAACCAGGCAAGCAAGCAAGCAAACUAACAAAGAGCAACACACUCACAUCCAGAAAAACAAAAACCAACAGCAAAAAUCCUGAAGGGAGAAGGGAGAUAAGCCUGAAUUUUUAGUGUGAGCAUGUUAUAGGAAGUGACAGGGGAAACUCCAAACCUGCCUAUAUAAGCCUCACAGCAUCAUAGGUGUCCUGUGAAAUGGUGAUUUACCAUUUCCCAAAUAUAAGAAAUAUAUAUGAACCGUAUAAAGAUGACCACCCUGAGACCAGAGUUUUAGAUUUCAAAGAUAAUGGGCAGGCUAAAGAGCAGAUUUCAUUUUAGACUAAUGUCUUCGUACAGGUGCUGUGGCUGAGUGCUGGAGGGUUUGCCUAGAGUGCAGGCCAGUCCCCAGCAGCACAGUUUUUAAAUGUGUUUUACUGCACACAUAUGCUUCACAAUACAGUUUUACACAGAAGCUGGAAGCACUUUCCUUCGUAUUUUGCAGAAAGGCUAGAAACAUGAGGACUUUCUUUAAUAUAUCAAAGUACAGCCACAAUUUUUAAGAUAAAUAUUACUGAAAUGUCAGUUUAAAGCUAGUUUAAAUUUCAAAGAGAGAAAGACUGGAAAUUGAUUUAUGCAUAUGUGACCCAAGGCACUUCUCCUACAUCAACAGUGGCUGGGAAGCUUGAUGUGGUGACGCACACCUGUAACUGAGUGCUCUAGAGUAGUGGUUCUCAACCUGGGGAUAGAAACCCAUUAGGUAGCCGGUGGGGGCUUCAAAUGACCCUUUCACAGGGGUCACCUAAGACCACUGGAAAUCACAGAUAGUUACAGUGUGAGUCAUAACAGUAGCAAAAUUACAGCUACUAAAUAACAAAAAUAACUCUGUGUUUGGGGGUCACCACAGCAUGAAGAACUGUGUUAAAGGUCACAGUGAUAGGAAGGGUGAUCAGGAGUUCAGAGUGUCCAGAUGUUGAGUUUGAGGCUAGCCUGAGCUACAUGAGAAACUAUCUCAAAACAAAACAAUAAAACUGCCCCCACCCCACCCCCCAAAAAAAGAAAGAAGAAAAAAAAAUUCCACAUGGCUAUGAAAAAUCAAGGCAUUUACUGAUGGUAUUCUGUUUUGGUUAGUUUUAAGAAUAUGGGACUGUACACUUAAAGAUCAAUACUUUGUACCAAAAAGAGAAAAAUUUAGGGUUUGGGUAUAGCUCAGCCCAUAGGCGGCUUGCCUGCCAUAUGUAAGCCCCAGCAUUUCCCAGGAGACAAUAAUUCAUUUUGUUGUGCUUUUUGUUUUAGAGUUUGGUUUUUUUUUUUUUUUUUUUUUGUUGUUGUUGUUUUUUGUCUUGUUUUUUUUUGAGACAGGGUUUCUCUGUGUAGUCCUGGCUGUCCUGGAACUCACUCUGUAGACCAGACUGGCCUCGAACUCAGAAAUCCGCCUGCCUCUGCCUCCCGAGUGCUGGGAUUAAAGGCGUGCGCCACCACGCCCGGCUCUGAUUUUAUUUUCUUUUUUUGUCAACUCAACACAAGCCAGCCACCUCAGUUGAGAACAUGCCUCCAGCAGACUGGCCUGUAGGGAUGCCUGUGGGACAUUUUUUGAUCAAUGAUGAUUGAUAUGGGAAGGCCCAGCACACCAUGGGUGGUACCACCCCAUGGCAGGUUGUCCUGGGUUAUGUGAGAAAGCAGACCGAGUAAGCCAUGGGAUACAGGACAGAAAGCAGUGUUCCAUGGUCUCUGCUUCAGUUCCUGCCUCAAGUUCCUGCUCUGAGUUCCUUUCAUGAUAUCUACAGCUGUUAGCUGAAAUAAACCCUUUCAUUCCUAAGUUGCUUUUAGUCACGUCCUUUUUAUCACAGCAAUAGAAACCCUAAGAUAGUACUUAUGAUCAUAUGCAAAAUUAUUCUGAUACUUUUCAUAAUGAUAUGUAUCCACUGAUUUUAGUUUUCAAUAUAACUUUCUAUCCCUUAGAGAGGUUAAUGUAAUUUACUCUAAAUGGUUUUUAGUACAUAUUUUUCAAUCUAUGCAUUUAUUCUGAUGUGAUUAUCUCAUUUUGUAGCCCAUGCUGGCUUGGAGUUCAUUGCAAACCUCCUGCUUCAACCUCUUGAGAUCUUAAGAUUAUAGGUGUGAGCCACUAUACCUGGUUAACAAAUUUUUAUUGAAUGAAAGAAUGGUCACAUGCUGUUUAUAUGUUUUGUAGUACGGCUAGAUCUCUUAAUUAACUUAUAUGUGACUGGAGCCUGGAAGAUAUGCUGACAUUUUGACGUAACCUUUGGAUAUUUCUUGUUUUCAAAAUCUUAUGUAUAUUUUUAAAAGUGGUAGAGCCUAUUAUUAACUAGUUCUUCCUUAUUUACUGAGUUAACAUGCAGUUACUUGUUUUGGAUAAGGAUGGUAGAUAAUUGCUUACCAGCUUUUGAUAGAGUUGUUUCUAAUACACUUUGUAUUCUUCAUUUUGAGUUCAAUCCAAGGUUGGAUACCAAAGCCUAAGAUUCUAAGAAUACAUUAUGUUACCAUUUUUAUGUAGGCAAUAGGUACCAGAUAAAUCAACAACAAAAUAUAGAGGUAUCUAUUUCCACAAAAAACGACAGAUCAAGAGGUUGUUUAGCUACAGGAACAAGAUUCUGGAUUAAAAGACUAAUUUGUGAUCGUUUAGCGAUGUAGUAAAAGACCUAUAUUGGGUU
rnacentral:lncRNA from 1 species